UGCUUUUACUUUUAUUUUUACUUUUAUUUAAAUUUAAUUAAUCUUUUUAUUGAUAUUUUUAUAUCUCUAUUUCCUUCUUUGUAUUAUAAUUAUUUUAUUAUCUUAUUAUUAGUUAAAUUAGUAUUUCUACUGAUAAUUUUUUUUUUUUAUUUUUUUUCCAAUAAGUAAAUCUUUACAGGAUUUCAAUCUUACAAGCAACAACAAUUAAUUUAUGUGUUAUAUUAUGUUUCAAUUUUUCGCGCGAUUUUUGAAUGAAAAAAAUAAGCAUCAUGAGCCAACCAAUCAGAACAUCCCUUAAUUCGAGACGCGGGACGAAUUAGUGCGCAUCGCAAUGCGCAUCGGAGUGCGCAACGCAGUGCGCAUCACACUGCGCAUCACACUGCGCAUGUCGUCAGUCUACAGUUGAAAAUUGUGUGGAGUGGAUGUGUCGUCGCAAAUUCGGAUUACGCAGUUUAAUUGAUAGCGUUAUGGUAAUAUUCUCGAAGGCGGGAAAAAUUCCAAUAUGGACGCCAUGUCUUUCUUGGUGACUUUCUUUCGUGGUAAAAUCUUAUAUUUCGUAUGAAUUGAAGAAAAUAAACAAGAAAAAAUAGAUUCAAGUUAAUAAAUCCUCUUCAACUUUCAACGGUAUGGAUUACAUCAUCGAAUAAAUAUUUUAAUUUUUAUAUUAGGUAGGAUAGGAUUUAAGAUAGGAUCAGAUUAGAAGAAAUAUUUAGAAAUAUUUUUUUUAUAUAUGGGAUUUAUAAACAAUGGGAUGUUCUGUUCUUCCUAUUAUUAAAAAAAGGCAGUCUCGCCUUCCCUACUCUGAUUCGUUUUCCAAACCAAUAUUUCCUAAUUUUUCAAGGCAAAUUACCUUAACCUUGCCUUAAUUCCUCAAUUUCCUCAUUAUAGACAAAUACUUGAUAGCUACGUGACUUCGUUCACUAGCCAUCAUUGAUAUUUUCCUCUUGCCACAUGUGGUUCAUAUUUUAUAUCGUAUCAUAAAUUUUUCGAAAAUUGUUUGUCAGUCGAUCAGUGUGAAUGUUGGUGUGAAGAGAAUUUGUAGAUGUUCAAUAGGCAGAGUUAAAAACAAAAUGUUUAAAUUCUUAUAUAUUCUUAAGUAAGAAAUACGAAAAAGAACUUUUAAAAUAAGUAAAAUGUUAAUGUUAUAUUUUUAUUUAAAUUUGUUUCAGGAUUUCUUACAGGAGCAGAAGAUUGUACGAUAUUGAUUAAAGAAAAUGUAUUUAGAAUUAAGUGCAUGCACAAUCAAGGGUAUUAAAUAAAGUAGUGUAGUAUUGUAGAAAAGUAGAUACUGUAGAUAAAUAGAUGGGUAAAAUGGGUGUAGCGCUUUUUGGGAUGCUUAUUUUGCUUGUUUUUUUUCUUUUUUUUUUUUUGCGCACGCUUUUUACUAUCAAUCAUUCUUCAUUUUCAUAUCGAAAUGGAAGUGUAAAAUAUUGAUAGAAAAUCUUUUAAUUUUAAUUUUAUUUUCAGAUUUAGUCUUCCGCGCCGGUUUUCCUUAGAAUUCCUUUCGUUGUUUGUUUUGCACAACGAUCGAAGGAUUCGAACGUUUUGCAAAUUUAUAUCGAAAGGAAAAUUUAUUAUUAAUUUUAAAUAAAUUUUUGCGUAAAGGAGGGUGGACGGGAUCGUGGAUAGGGUGGGUCUCCAAUUCGCAGCAACCUCCACGCGGUGAGACCUGGAAAAUCAUUAUUAUUUACUAUAUUAUUCAUAAUCGUAUCCUUGAUACAAUUAUAAAUUUUAUAGCGAAUAAUGUGAGCUAAUUGGCUGCGCACGCGAUUUCAAUGAUUAUUUUUUUAUUUUGUAAUUAUUAAGAUUUAUUAAAUUAUUAACGAUCAAAGUUUGAACGUUUUGCUUACAUCGAAAAGAAGAAUUUAUUUGUGAAUAAAAUAAUUUGUGAAA